rnacentral:rRNA from 1 species
GAUGAACGCUGGCGGCGUGCUUAACACAUGCCAGUCGAACGGAAAGGCCCAAGCUUGCUUGGGUACUCGAGUGGCGAACGGGUGAGUAACACGUGGGUGAUCUGCCCUGCACUUCGGGAUAAGCCUGGGAAACUGGGUCUAAUACCGGAUAGGACCACAUUUUGGAUGGUGUGGUGGAAAGUUUUUCGGUGUGGGAUGAGCUCGCGGCCUAUCAGCUUGUUGGUGGGGUAAUGGCCUACCAAGGCGUCGACGGGUAGCCGGCCUGAGAGGGUGUACGGCCACAUUGGGACUGAGAUACGGCCCAGACUCCUACGGGAGGCAGCAGUGGGGAAUAUUGCACAAUGGGCGCAAGCCUGAUGCAGCGACGCCCCGUGGGGGAUGACGGCCUUCGGGUUGUAAACUCCUUUCGCUAGGGACGAAGCGCAAGUGACGGUACCUGGAGAAGAAGCACCGGCUAACUACGUG